rnacentral:rRNA from 1 species
GCUUGUCUCAAAGAUUAAGCCAUGCAUGUCUAAGUAUAAACUGCUUAUACUGUGAAACUGCGAAUGGCUCAUUAAAUCAGUUAUCGUUUAUUUGAUGAUCUCUUACUACUUGGAUAACCGUAGUAAUUCUAGAGCUAAUACAUGCACAAAAUCCCGACUUACGAAGGGAUGUAUUUAUUAGAUACAAACCAACAUCGUGGUGAUUCAUAAUAACUUUGCGAAUCGUAUGCCUCACGGCGACGAUGAAUCAUUCAAAUUUCUGCCCUAUCAAUUGGCGAUGGUAGGAUAGAGGCCUACCAUGGUGUUAACGGGUGACGGGGGAUUAGGGUUCGAUUCCGGAGAGGCAGCCUGAGAAACGGCUACCACAUCCAAGGAAGGCAGCAGG